GGGGGGGAGGGGUUAUCGCGAGAAGAGCCGCCCCGCGGGAUUUUUUUCUUAAAGGAGCCGCCGUGAAACGGCAGGCGGCAGCGCGGGGGCGUCUCGCGAGGCUUGCGGAUGUUCCCGCGCGCGGCGCAGGCGUUGGGCCGUUAGAGCGCGAGGGAAGCCGUUGGGCGUCUGAGGCGCCAUGAGCGGCGGUGAGGGCAGGCGCUACCCGGGCCGGCGCUGUCGUGUUUACUAACGUUUCACAGCCAACAGAACUGGCUGGGUUGGACCGCUGUUCACAAACUGAUCUCAACCCUUCCGAUCAGCGAAAAGUCAAGCAAGUAGGACAUCCCCUUUCAACAGAGAUUUAGAUUCAGAACUGUAGUCUGCAUCUCAGCCUGAAAUACAAGACAACAACUAGCUUUUGGCAAAUGCCAUAAAAGCAGCCCUUGGGACCGAGCUAGAGGUUCCUCAGAUACUGUACCCCUAAGGAUUCAUCCUUUCUAAUCUUCUAUUGUGCUGCUCACCUAACAGCAAGCAAGGAACUGCCUCAGCUGGCACCAUGGACAGAGGCCCCCUAUGAAGUGGCUGCAGUUGUAGACCGUCCGUUCCUGACGUGUCUUACUCGUGUGGCUUGGGUAAUUCAGAUUCACUGAAUUAGUUGCAGUGGUAGAUUUUGAGGGUGGAUAAUUCUUCCCUCAAAGCUGGAAAAAAUCAAUGAUUCCUCUCCUGUGAAAUAUCUUUAGUUUGGGGCUAUUUCAUAUUGACAACUGAUAGCUUAAAUAGUCUGGAGUAGUAUUCCCUAACACAAAAUGUGAGAAUAAUAGUAAAUACUAUUAUGAAUCUAUAGUCCAAGCUUGUAGGAUGACACUGGCAAACUUUGUUUUUUGUUAGUAGUCCUCUGCCCUCUAAAAUAUACUUUCAGCUUCCUGCUAUGUACCACCAUUGCUACACCUAAUAAACAUGUACAGUUCUAGCCCUAGGUGAACACAGUCCAGUUACACUCCAUGUGGAAUGUGGAGGCUUGCAUUUUUGUUUUCCUCAUGGGAAAUGGAGUGGAGCUGGAAGAUAUUUGCUGUCCCCAAAGGAUGCCAUAAUUCAAACACAGCUUCUGGAAUUUCAGCACUGCACUGUACUUAGUCAUUCCCAGUGACCUGAAAAAAAGAAAAAAAAGUCUGUGCAUGUGUGUGGGGGGGUGGGGGUUGUUUUCUCAUGCAUUAUCGUGCAUUUCAUGUUCAGCAGUUUGACACAGCACUGUAGCUGCAAACCCCUUACUGGUUAGAAGGUUAGAAGAACUCUCUACUUUGCCGUGAGACUUCUUGGUCACGGUUAGCCCUAGUUGGGCACACUUGUGGGACUUGUGCAGGGAGGCUCUCAAGACAGGGUGAUGAGGCAUGCCUCAGACCUGAGAUAGAGCACCGCUUCCUAAGGCACUGGCACUUGCCAAAGCUUUCCAUGUAUAAAGGUAGGCCCUGUAUUUUUAGUGUUGGCUUCUUAGAGGUUUUAUUUUGUUCUUCAUAUGCAAAAUACAAGCAAAAAUUUCUCUGCCAGGGGCCCUAGGAGUCAAUUGCAAUGGGGACUGCUAGUUUCUCCUAAAAUCCAGGACUGAGGUGAGAUGCAGGAAGGGACAGGAGAUUCUUGGUGAGCAAGAAUCCAAGAAUGGGGCCUGUCCCAGAACAGCAGGGACAAUCAUUUCUAGCUGAAUUUAUGAUCCACAAUGGUGGUAAUGUCAGCAGUCAGGCUGUGGUCCCUGUAUUGUGUUUUAUAGUAAAUGCUUCUCUCUUACUGUAGAAGAUGAUCUAUUUUUGACUGGCUUGUUUUCAUCUGACACUCUGCAAACAAUGGAAAUGUUUCUUGUCUAGAGAGCUAGGCCCCCAAAGUGCCCUCUGUGACUAACAGUAACAGAAAUGCCCUCCAAGUGGACCAUGUAUGAAUCAGUUGGGCCCAUGACCCUAUUAGUCUUGUGUUCAUAGGGCUAAAUAGAAUAACUCAGGGAAAUAUUACAGAACAUGGAAAAUAUUCUCUACUGAAAACAAACCCUUCAAGAUCUGAAUCACAAGUAGUCCUUGGUUGAGAGAUUCAGGUGACAUUAUAACUUUGUAUAGUGGAGACUCUGGGAAAUUUCAGGCUCUAAGAAGACAAAGUAUGUUUGAUCUAUUCCAUUCCAUGUAUCAUUAGUUAAGGCACUUCUUUAGUUUGGCUAUAUACUGAAGCUCACACUCGUUGACACUACCAGUAAAGCUUCUCUGACAGGUGGUGUAGAGAGUAUGAACCAAAGAUAAGCUGAUGGUAAAAGAAAGACCUUUGCUUCUUGAAAGGCAACUUAAAUUGAUAACUAGUCCUUUUAAUAUAAAUGAUACUAAAAUUUUAUAUCACAGACACAUGCUCAUGAUAUAGGACUGAGGGCAUUCCUUUCUCAGAAAACAAAGACUGAUGCUGUCUGCCAGCUCGUCUGCAAGGCACCAGAAAAAGGCUUGUUUCUUGGAUUUUAUUUAAGGAAUAGUUUUUUUCUGUGUUGUCAGUAAUGCCUGAGUAUGAUGAAGGAAACAGUCUGACUCUCCUUCUCCUUGCUGCCUGAGGCACUGUUAUUUAUCAUUUCAGAGUUGUACCUUUCAAGUUCAUAGGAAGGCCACACAAUCUUAAUCUUGUGAGGCUGGUGAAUCAGGCUCUGCAGUGAGACUGUAAGCCUUGUCUUGACAUUAGAGUAUGUAGUGAACAGUUCAUUUCUGAAUACCUGUAAGAAUUGCAUUAAAGAUUGUAAGCUGCUACAGCAGUAGUGGCAGGCUAUCCAAAGAGAGGAUACUAAACUAGGAAACAGAAAAGUUGAAACGAGAGGAGCAGGUUGCAUGCAGCUUCUAUAUACUUUUU